UGGAAUUCCACGAGUAGCGGUGAAAUGCGUAGAGAUGUGGAGGAACACCAGUGGCGAAGGCGACUCUCUGGUCUGUAACUGACGCUGAGGAGCGAAAGCGUGGGGAGCGAACAGGAUUAGAUACCCUGGUAGUCCACGCCGUAAACGAUGAGUGCUAAGUGUUAGGGGGUUUCCGCCCCUUAGUGCUGCAGCUAACGCAUUAAGCACUCCGCCUGGGGAGUACGGUCGCAAGACUGAAACUCAAAGGAAUUGACGGGGGCCCGCACAAGCGGUGGAGCAUGUGGUUUAAUUCGAAGCAACGCGAAGAACCUUACCAGGUCUUGACAUCCUCUGACAACCCUAGAGAUAGGGCUUUCCCUUCGGGGACAGAGUGACAGGUGGUGCAUGGUUGUCGUCAGCUCGUGUCGUGAGAUGUUGGGUUAAGUCCCGCAACGAGCGCAACCCUUGAUCUUAGUUGCCAGCAUUCAGUUGGGCACUCUAAGGUGACUGCCGGUGACAAACCGGAGGAAGGUGGGGAUGACGUCAAAUCAUCAUGCCCCUUAUGACCUGGGCUACACACGUGCUACAAUGGACAGAACAAAGGGCUGCGAGACCGCAAGGUUUAGCCAAUCCCACAAAUCUGUUCUCAGUUCGGAUCGCAGUCUGCAACUCGACUGCGUGAAGCUGGAAUCGCUAGUAAUCGCGGAUCAGCAUGCCGCGGUGAAUACGUUNCC
rnacentral:rRNA from 1 species